rnacentral:rRNA from 1 species
AUUGAACGCUGGCGGCAAGCUUAACACAUGCAAGUCGAGCGGAGAUGAGGUGCUUGCACCUUAUCUUAGCGGCGGACGGGUGAGUAAUGCUUAGGAAUCUGCCUAUUAGUGGGGGACAACAUUCCGAAAGGAAUGCUAAUACCGCAUACGUCCUACGGGAGAAAGCAGGGGAUCUUCGGACCUUGCGCUAAUAGAUGAGCCUAAGUCGGAUUAGCUAGUUGGUGGGGUAAAGGCCUACCAAGGCGACGAUCUGUAGCGGGUCUGAGAGGAUGAUCCGCCACACUGGGACUGGGACACGGCCCAGACUCCUACGGGAGGCAGCAGUGGGGAAUAUUGGACAAUGGGGGGAACCCUGAUCCAGCCAUGCCGCGUGUGUGAAGAAGGCCUUAUGGUUGUAAAGCACUUUAAGCGAGGAGGAGACUACUGAGACUAAUACUCUUGGAUAGUGGACGUUACUCGCAGAAUAAGCACCGGCUAACUCUGUGCCAGCCGCCGCCGUAA